rnacentral:lncRNA from 1 species
GUUCUCUUUAAAAUAGAAGGGGUUUCGUUUUUCUCGCUCUCUUGCUUCCUCUCUUGCUUCUUACACUCUGGCCCGAUAAAGAUGUAAGCAAUAAAGCUUUGCCGUAGAAGAUUCUGGUUGUUGUGUUCUUCCUGGCCGGUCGUGAGAACGCGUCUAAUAACAAUUGGUGCCGAAACCCGGGACGAGAAAAUCCGGGACGAGAAAAAACUCCGGACUGGCGCAGGAGGGAUACUUCAUUUCAGAACCAGAACUACGGAUCACGUUUAUAAAGGUUCCCGUAACACAGACUGUUGAGAAGGAUUCAACUGCCGAAUUCAGAACUCAUCAGCUGGGGAACGACGGUGAUAAAGGUUCCCGUAAAGCAGACUGUUAAGAAGGAUUCAACUGUAUGAAUUCAGAACUUUUCAGCUGGGGAACGAGAGUACCAGUGAGUAUGUUUGGCCUUGAAUUUUUUCUGGUGUUAGGAGCCCUUUUGUUCCUUUUCACAUGUUAUAUAGUGGUUAAGGCAGGGCUGAAAAUUCUGGAUGAAAUUCAGGGCAGUCUAUCAGAAGUAAAGCGGGGAGAGAGAGUAGGAGCAAGGAGAAACGGUAAGUAUACAGGCCUUUCCAAGGGUCUUGAACCCGAGGAAAAGUUAAGGUUAGGUAGGAAUACCUGGAGAGAGAUUAGAAGAAAAAGAGGAAAAAGGGAAAAGAAAAAAGAUCGAUUAGCGGAGGUCUCUAGGAGAUACUCGUCACUAGAUGAGCUCAGGAAGCCAGCUCUUAGUAGCUCUGAAGCAAGUGAAGAAUCCUCCUCUGAGGAAACAGACUGGGAGGAAGAAGCAGCCCAUUACCAGCCAGCUAAUUGGUCAAGAAAAAAGCCAAAAGCGGCUGGCGAAAGUCAGCGUACUGUUCAACCUCCCGGCAGUCGGUUUCAAGGUCCGCCCUAUGCGGAGCCCCCGCCCUGCGUAGUGCGUCAGCAAUGCGCAGAGAGGCAAUGCGCAGAGAGGUGCGCAGAGAGGCAGUGCGCAGAGAGGCAGUGCGCAGACUCAUUCAUUCCCCGAGAGG